GGAGCAGUAGGGAAUCUUCCACAAUGGGCGAAAGCCUGAUGGAGCAACGCCGCGUGAGUGAAGAAGGUUUUCGGAUCGUAAAACUCUGUUGUAAGGGAAGAACAAGUACAGUAGUAACUGGCUGUACCUUGACGGUACCUUAUUAGAAAGCCACGGCUAACUACGUGCCAGCAGCCGCGGUAAUACGUAGGUGGCAAGCGUUGUCCGGAAUUAUUGGGCGUAAAGCGCGCGCAGGCGGUCCUUUAAGUCUGAUGUGAAAGCCCACGGCUCAACCGUGGAGGGUCAUUGGAAACUGGGGGACUUGAGUGCAGAAGAGGAAAGUGGAAUUCCAAGUGUAGCGGUGAAAUGCGUAGAGAUUUGGAGGAACACCAGUGGCGAAGGCGACUUUCUGGUCUGUAACUGACGCUGAGGCGCGAAAGCGUGGGGAGCAAACAGGAUUAGAUACCCUGGUAGUCCACGCCGUAAACGAUGAGUGCUAAGUGUUAGGGGGUUUCCGCCCCUUAGUGCUGCAGCUAACGCAUUAAGCACUCCGCCUGGGAGAAGACGU
rnacentral:rRNA from 1 species